UUUUAUAAAAUUAUACUAAAAUUGGAAUGAUACAGAGAAGAAUUAGCAUGGCCCCUGCGCAAGAAUGGCACGCAAAUUUGUGAAGCGUUCCAUAUUUUU
rfam:Octopus bimaculoides Scaffold273103_contig_1, whole genome shotgun sequence.